rnacentral:tRNA from 1 species
CGGGGCGUGGCCCCGUUUGGCGAGGGCGCUACGAUGGGGUCGUAGAAGUCCGGGGUUCAAAUCCCCGCGCCCCGACCU